UACGUAGGGUGCGAGCGUUGUCCGGAAUUAUUGGGCGUAAAGAGCUCGUAGGCGGUCUGUCGCGUCGGUCGUGAAAACUUGGGGCUUAACCCUGAGCUUGCGGUCGAUACGGGCAUGACUGGAGUUCGGCAGGGGAGACUGGAAUUCCUGGUGUAGCGGUGAAAUGCGUAGAUAUCAAGAGGAACACCUGAGGUGAAGACGGGUUGCUGGGCUGACACUGACGCUGAGGCGCGAAAGCCAGGGGAGCAAACGGG
rnacentral:rRNA from 1 species